UGAGGAAUAUUGGGCAAUGCCCGCAAGGGUGACCCAGCAACGCCGCGUGGAGGAUGAAUGUCGUAAGAUUGUAAACUCCUGUUAGAGGGGAAGAAUAGUACCGGUUGGACCGGUAUAUGACUGUACCCUCAGAGAAAGCCCCGGCUAACUACGUGCCAGCAGCCGCGGUAAUACGUAGGCAGCAAGCGUUGUUCGGAGUUACUGGGCGUAAAGAGUGCGUAGGCGGUUUUCUAAGUUCGGGGUGAAAUCUCCCGGCUUAACUGGGAGGGGGCGCCGAAGACUGGGAAGCUGGAGUGUGGGAAAGGCAGGCGGAAGUCCUGGUGUGGCGGUGAAAUGCGUAGAGAUCAGGAGGAACACCGGCGGUGUAGACGGCUUGCUAGACCAUAACUGACGCUGAGGCACGAAAGCGUGGGUAGCAAACA
rnacentral:rRNA from 1 species